AGCCACAGCAACGCCAGAUCUGAGCAGCAUCUGUGACCUACACCACAGCUCAUGGCAACACCGGAUCCUUAACCCACUGAGCAAGGCCAGGGAUUGAACCCGCAACUUUGUGGUUCCUAGUUGGAUUCCUUUCUGUUGCGCCUCAAUGGUAAUUCCAGAAUUUGUUAUUUCUGAUGAAGCUGUGAAGAAGGAGAUAUGCAGGUAUAAUCUUUUGGAGAAAGAAGUGGGGAGAGAGGUCUCAAGAAGCAGCCUAAUAAGUUUCAUUAUCUUUACCCAUCAGAGGACUUUGAAAACUCUGGGUACAUGGAAGUAUCCUGGUGCUAGAUCUUCAACUUUACAUUUUUAGAAUUUUUUUUUUAAGGCAAGGAUUCCUUUGCCUCGGGUAUUAAAACGUCUUUGGCUUUCCCCCAUCUGCCCACCCCAUCUAUGGACAGACACACGGAGUCCUGGGAGAUACUAUGAUGAGAGAGUGAAAAGAAAAUGUUCUUUCAUUGGAACAGUUUCAAUUUUGUUGUUGUAGAGAACAAGGCUCAAGUUGGCAGCAGCCUGCACAGCACACACCUGAGAGUGUGGCCUCCUGAGAUGCUGGCCCUGGGCAUCUGGGAGCCCACACCUGGGAGGUGGCUGGCAAUACCACCACCACAGGGAGCGCUUGUGUUUAAGGCAGCUCUGGAGGUGCACAGGUUGGGUCCCCUCAAGGAAGAACUUACUGUUUGGCUGCAGGACAGGUAACAGCCUCCAGCUUCUAGAACGCUUGGGACCCACCCUGGCUUCCUGGGCAAGGUCACCUCUUCCUGGACAGGCUUCAGACAGGCUUGUCUCAGAGCUCCCACUGGGUUGGCCUUGGCUUGAUCAGAUCUGCCCUGUGGUCUGAAAUGCUCUUACCCAGUCCUGCUUCCUCCUCCUUCCUGUCACCAGGAAAGAUCUAUCUUCCUGGGGGUGCUGAAGCCCAUUAGCAGUUCUCCUCACCCCUAUGUUCACAGCUCACCCUCCAACACAUCACUGGCACCCUGAUGUCUCAGGGUCUGCUUUCCAGAGGACCUAACUGACCCAAUGAAUUAUCCAUUUUUAAACAUUCUGAAAAACUACCCGUAUAAAUCAAGUUUGUUUUAAAAGGCAGCCUAGAUGUACCUGGUGCAGAGGUGGCUAAGCAGUAGAGAGAGAGUCACAUCUGACACUCAGUGAGUUCUCCCCACUUCCAAUUCCAUUCCAAUUCCAUGCCUCCCAGAAGCCUUCAUUGGUGUGUGUCCGUCUCCGCAUUUAUCCAGGUACAUAACUAUAGAGACAAUUUUUGUAUUACACAAGUAACUGCAUGUUGCAUAUAUUGUUUUGCACCUAGAUUAUUCUCUUUUUGGCCACACCCACAGCAUGUGGACAUUCCUUGCCCAGGGAUCAAACCCACACCAGAGCUGUAACCAGAGCCACAGCAGUGACAAUGCUGGAUCCUUAACUCACUGAGUCAUGAGGGAACUCCUAGAUUAUUUUUUAUCUAGUAAUAUGUCUUAGAAAUUUUCCCAGGCCAGGACAAGGACUAUGCCUCCAUCUUUUUGACAGCUGUCUAAUAUUCUAUUGUGUGAAAAUACAUGCAUUUUUUUUCUUUCCACCCUUCUAUGUCUUUGCUUUUUUUCUCCCAGAUUUGUUUUAUUGAAAUGAAAAAAAUUAUAGAAAUUGCACACAGUAACCCAAAUUCAAAUGAUGUAAAAUGAAAAGUAAAUGCUACCAUUCUGCACCUCUGUAUGCAAAUCCCACCCUCAGGAGACCACACCUUUUAAUGGUUUUGGUGUUUUUUUUAAGUAUAGUUGGUUUACAGUGUUUCUUCAAUUUCUGUUGUACAGCAAAGUGACCCGACCACACACAGUUCUCUGUGCUGUACAGUAGAGUUUUUAUCAAAAUAAUAAUUAUCAUAGCUGAGAAAGGAAAUGGCAAUAAGGACUUAUAACGAGUAGCAGUAAUUUCAUGGGCACAGGAGGGAGCAAAGGCAUGAACACAUGCUCGGUUCACCAUAUUGAACCAACGUCUGACUGGGAAGGAUGUUACUUAAGGCCAUGCCAGUGGUCUGAGUUCCAGUCUCUCUCUGAAACCUCUGGCUGUGCAAACUUGGGCCCGAUGUGCUUCAUUUUCUUCAGUUCAACUAUUAAAAUGAGGAGUUCUCUUGUGAUGCAGCAGGUUAAGGAUGCGAUUUUGUAACUGCAGCAGCUUGGGUUGCUGCUGUGGCGCAGGUUCCAUCGUUGGCCUGGGAAAUUCCACAUGCCGUGGGUGCAGCCAAAAUAUAAAUCAAUCAAUAAAUGCGAUAGGUCCUGCACGUGUAGGAUUUCCAUGAAGUAGAGAGAAUGGCCUGUACCGUACGAUAUGGCAGGAUGAGGAUUGUACCUGGAGCCCGUGCUGACCCCAGGAUGACCAUCAGCUCAGACCCGUCUCAGGUAUCAGUGUAAAUGGGACUGCUCAGAGCUCCUCCCCGAGUUGGGUGAGGACUCAGUUAAUGGAAUAGGGCACGUGGUGGCCAGUUUCUCUCUCUUCUGUUAGGAGUGGACGAUUGACUUGCACAUGAGGAUUUUCUACAGUUUUCUGUGGCAGCACCCACAGUCCCUGAGCGUCUCGAUUGCUUAAAGAACGCUAGCGGGUGCUACAGUUGUUGCGUGCCCCUAAAAACUUCCUUCUUUGAUAAGGAAAACCAUUUCUAAUUCUAACAAUGACAGAGAAAUGCAGGAGGAUACAAAUUUCUUCUAUUUCAAAUUCCUGUCUGAUUAUUGAAUACCCAGGCACUUCUAGCUAUAGGACAGCAGAUCUGGUGGUUUAAGGACAGUUUCCUCCAGGUCACAAAUGUGUGUCACUAGCAUCAAAGCACACAGCAGCCAGGGGAGUGUAUACGGAACUGGUACCAGGAAACAGGGAAACUGGUCAAGGAGCAGCAUCUACAUCUGGGCAAGGUUGUCAACAUUCAGACUUGAAGUCUAAGCCAGUCUAGACCCAUCACUGGCGUGAGAAAGAAAACUAGAGAUGUUUUUGGUCAUACAUAUGCAGCAGGGCAGAAAGAAAGCCUUGACGACUUAACACAGAUUCACUAUGAAAUUUUCCAUCUAUUUGUGUUUUAAGUAGAGGCCAAAAGCCUCUGAAAAGAUGACAAUUUAUGAGAAUUCUUAGAACCAACAUGACUUGGAUUCACUUUUUCCCAAAUGGUUUGCUGCUUAGUACACCUGCUUCUUCUUUUUAUAGAGGUGGAGUCUAAUCAUACAAUUCAUAUUCAUGGAAAAUCUGAGUCAUGUAUUCUGCUGGGUCGUCUAAGAAAUAUAAGCAUUGUUUCAUUUUAGUUCCUGAUAUGAAUCAAGGAAAACCUGGGCUCCAAGGUCACAUUGAGGUCACUAGACACAGAUAAUAAAUUUAAUUUCUUUUUUUUCCUUUUUGGGUUGUCCCAGCAGCACAUGGAAGUUCCCAGGCCAGGGAUAGAAUGCAAGCUGCAGCUGAGACCUACGCCACAGCUGUGGCAAUGCUGGAUCCACUGUGCCAGGGCAGAGAUUGAACCUUUUGUGUUGCAGAGACAAUGCUGGAGCUUUAAUCCACUGUGCCACAGUGGGAACUCCUGGGAACAGAUUUCUAGGGUAGGAAUGGGGAGAUUGCAGCUAGAAGCAGACUAGGGAAAAGGAACUACUGCGAUGUUUCUCGUGCUGAAGAGGUUGUGGACGCCUUGUGCUCCUGGGGUUUAGCAAAACAAAAUUUAAAAACAACUGCAUUGCCUUUUAAAUAAUAUCACAGAUUUUGCUCAUACAAGCAGAAAUGCAGGCGCUGAAAUGAAGUGGAGACACACAGCUACAAAAUGACCAGCAAGGACAUUUAGAAUAUGUUUAUACCAAUAUUUGAGGUUAUAGAUGAUAUAAAAUGGAAGAAGCAGCUUUUAUGGAAAAGGUCCAUACAUCUUAUAAUAAGUCUAUAGACCCCAGAAGCCCAGUUUGAAAAUCACAUUCUCUUUGGCUUGAGUCUGCAUUCUUCCCUCCCAUGGGACUUGCUGUGAUGAGAAGCCUGGUCUCUUCUAGAGGAGGCGUUUCUCCGGCCGGACCCACUCUCCUCCCCAACUUUAGAAGGUUAUUUGGGGAUGGGCUUGGGGCGAAUCCCUUCGAGGCUAUAGGGAGAAUACUUGCCCCAGGGUUCAUCUUUUCACGCUGUUUGCUGGUUAACCUUGAAAGCUACGCUCAGACUGCAGGUAAGGGGUAAUGACUGUCUAAGUGGAGCGCUCCUACUGUUUCUGUUCGUUUGUUUUUAAGCUACUCGUUGAGGUAUAUUGAUAUGUAAGAAGCUGUGCGUGGAGUUCCCCUUGUGGCGCAGUGGUUAACGAAUCCCACUAGGAACCAUGAGGUUGUGGGUUCGGUCCCUGCCCUUGCUCAGUGGGUUAACGAUCUGGCGUUGCUGUAAGCUGUGGUGUAGGUUGCAGACACGGCUCAGAUCCCGCGUUGCUGUGGCUCUGGUGUAGGCCGGUGGCUACAGCUCCAAUUCGACCCCUAGCCUGGGAACCUCCAUAUGCUGCGGGAGCAGCCCAAAGAAAUAGCGAAAAGACAAAAAAAAAAAAAAAAAAAAAAAAAAAAAAGCUGUGCAUGUCUAGUGUACACAGCUUGAUGAGUGUGGGGAUAAACAUAUACCUUCGAAACCAUCACACAGACAAACCCAUAACCCCCCCGAGUUUUCUCCCUCUCACUAUUACUACUAAUUUUUUACUUUUUAUUGUUAGGGCCGCACCUGUGGCAUAUGGAGGUUCCCAGGCUAGGGGUCGAAUCAGAGCUACAGCUGCCAGCCUACACCACAGCCACAGCAACGCAGGAUCUGAGCCACAUCUGCCACUUACACCACAGCUCACAGCAGCACCAGAUCCUUAACCCACAGAACAAGGCCAGAGAUCAAACCCACAUCCUCAUGGGAUACUGGUCGGAUUCGUUUCCGCUGUGCCACAAUGGGAACUCCUAUUAUUAAUGCUUUACCUACUCUCUUGUAAAAAUUUCAGCAUACAAUACAGCUCUGCUAGCUAUAGGCGCUAUGCUAUAAAUGGCCAGGAUUUAUUUAUCUUGCGUAAAGUUUGGUACACUUUGACCGUCCCCCUCCCCCAUUUCUUCCUCUCCCCAGCCCCUGGUAACCACCAUCCCACUCUCUGCUUCUACGAGUUUGAUUAUUUUAGAUUCCACCUGUAAGUGACAUCAUAUAGAGAAGAGAGAGGGAUUUGGGGCUAAGGGUCAAAUCUCAUGUAUAAGAUGUGCGUGUGGGUAUAUUAGAAAAGGGACGUUCAGGAGCUAAAGGUACUCUUUAUGAAUCUGAGGUAGUGGAAUGAGCCAAAGAAUCCUGGUGGAACCCAUCAUGGCAAAUAAGGCACAUGGAUCUAUCUGCAAGGGUAGUUCUCAGCCCCAGGGGCAUAGCACCCCUCUGCCUUGUGAAAACAGAUGCUCCCCUCAUGAAAGCAUCAUGGAAGCGUCUUCCAUUUCUCUGCUAUUUAAAAACUGAAACUUCUGACAUUAGCUUGGCUCAUUGACAAGUCAGCCAGGUUUCCAAGUUUUUCAUUCUCUAUGAGCUGGGUUUUUAUGCAGCCUGGACUGAAAGAGGCGUCAGUGAAUGGCCUGGGGGGUGCUCUAAGACCGGGAACUGUGGUUGGGAUGCUCGUUUAAGACGAGAGGUUUUGAAACCCUGGACAUUGUUUUAACUUGAAACUGCAAUGAUGAAAGUACAUAAUUGCAAAGCCGUAGCAUUAGUCCUAGACCUCAAAGACUAUUCAAGGGACGUUUGAAUAUUUUCUAUGAGGUAAACCCAUCAUUAUAGCAUAUUAUCUAAAAAUCUGAGCUCAUGGGAGAUUUCCUAAUGUAGGUGUUACAAUUUUAUGUUUUUUUUCCAGAGCCUUUUUCCUUAUUAUCUGGAUUAUUGAUAAUUGCUUUUUCGAGCA
rnacentral:lncRNA from 1 species